rnacentral:lncRNA from 1 species
GAUGGAAAAUCCUCGAACAUUAAGGUAAAUGAUGAAGAUGUAAAGAAGAGGAGGUCACCAAUUCAAAGGGUGGUAAGCCAACGUUGCUACAUCUUUAUAAGUUGAGGCUAAAUAAUGUUUGCGAGGGCGCUGCCCAAUUAGGAGUGGAGAUAUGUAGAAUAGGUAAAUAAAUUUUGUGGUAAGUUACUGGUUGUUUAUUGACAACCUUGAGAAUUAGAUUGAUAGUUAGGUAGUUUAGUUAGUAACAAUUGGUUGUU